ACUUGGAUAGCUUAAGUUUAAAGUUUAAUAUUGAAGAUAUUACGAUAAUUAAAUAUUUCUAGGUA
rnacentral:tRNA from 1 species